UAUGUACCGUAACGUAAUUAAUUAUAAAACAAAUUAGUGAACUUUCGUUAAUUAGCCCAAUGUGCGUAACGAUUUAUUGUGCAAGUAAUGUCCGCCUCUCUGAAUAUUAUAAUCCAGCUCAAGAAAUAUAAUAAUGGUGUCUGCAACAGACGUUUUUUUGAAAAUUCCCUAAAACUUAAAGAUGAUCACCCCGUAUAGAGAACAUGUCUUGCGUGAUAAUAAGGCUUUGCAAUCCAGGUAUUACUCCACCUUAUGUAUAUAUAGGUUCUGUCACCAAUGCGCAUUGCUCAACUAAAUGAUGGAGCAUACAUAAUAGAGAACGUUAUACAAUGUCUCAGUAAGACACACUGUAAAUCCGGUACAGUAGCAUGCGCAAGAUAUAUAGACGUCGUCAUGCAAAUAGCCAACCACAAAAGUACCGGACAUAAUGAAAGAAAACAAGGGCAAUAUAAUACACAAAUGACGUGCAGAAAUAUAUGAUAACUCGCGAUCUCGUUGUGAAUAGAGAUAAAUGUGCACGUUGAAGAGCACCAGGUGGUCAAAAUUAAACCGGAUAUCCUUCCACUACGUACGCAGGGUCCUUGACAUAUCCCACGUACUUGGGACUUUACACGUGCACCUAGUGCAACUGCUUUCAUUUUCUUUUUACUUCUUGAAGAACCCCUUGCGGAGUAUUGUAUAGAAGGUGGGAAUAUAAGCAAUUGAAUCAAAGCUCGUACACCAUAUUACUUACAAAGCACUUGUUAUCUGGUCCAUGAAGGCAAAUGAAGUGGUGAUUGCGGCGGCGUGGUAGCGGAGGCCGGUUCCGGAGGUUGUACUUCGUCAUCGUUUGCGGACGCUGUGUCCAGACAUUGCGGGUGGUGGUGAACUAAUUAACGAUUGCACCCAUUCCCCCUCUAUCCUUACCCACUCACAUAUUGGUUCCGACGACCUCGUAUAAUUAAGCGUAAAAAAAUAAAAACGCAGUGAGAAACGCAGUCACUAUAGCCGUGACGACAGUCGCCUCAGGGAGACGCGUUAAAGUGAAAUUUAGCGCGAGUCAUUUUGACCUUGCGUAGAUAACGACGGUGAACACGGAAUAGCGAGUGCAUCGUAAAUGGCUGCAGUCCGCGUAAUUGAUUACCGAAUUUGCAGUGAAAAGCGGUAAAGUGAACUGACAUUGCAGAGAGUCUUCUGAAAGUCUCCAGCAGUUUUUCGUGCGCGUAAACUUCCUCGAAAAAAAAAAAAAACGCAGUCAGUAUCGCUGAUGUGCAACGGGCACGUAGAGCUGUAUGCACACGAGAUCCGCCGCCUUCGAAGCUUCCUCUUUUUCCGUGCUUUCAUCUCGUGCUCCCAACUCAGCGUUUAGAAAAGUGGGCUCGCAAAAGGCUAUACGCGCACAGUUUUUAUGGCACAUUCGAGCGACCGUUUCAGAGCGCUCCGGUAGCGUCACAAACGUCGUGCAAGACGGCAACUAAGCUUUAGUACGUGCGUAAACGGGACCACAUGGUGAUAACGGAGCCAGAUGAUAGGUGCAGUAUAGUCGGUUACUUUAUAACAUCGCAGCUUUAAAGCUGUGCUUAACUAUUUUUUGUACCACAGCAAAAGCGCUCUGAAACUGUGCCGAUCAGUUCAUGCUGACGGGUCUCCUUUAUCAACAGGGGGCGUUCCCAGCGUGUCGACUACCCUGCACGGUGCGCGUAUACUUUGUCUUCUUAGUUCCGUGCAGCGGUGCCAACCCUGCGAGGGCAACAAAGUGCGGAACCGACAGGACGACAGUGAAGUGAACAUGGAUACAUUUAUAGAUGCGUUUACCUUCCUGAUUGGUCGAGGCGCCCGAAGAUUCCAGCGUGCUGCACGGUAUUACUCACACAGAGUGUAGAACGCUUGGGCUUUGAUUCGCGCGGUGUCACCAUGAUGCACGGUGUGCGCGGGUCGAUACAUCGCAUACGCGCUUCUUUUCUUUUUUUUUUUUUUUUCUAGCUUUGGGCGUGCGUGCGUCGUAAAGUCAUGUGUGGCUCACAACCUUCAAACAUAAAUUCAAGAGACUGCGGAGCAGUCUAUUGUUUCUGAUGCGCGAUGCACAUGUAAAGAUUACGCUGGCGGUCGGCAGUGGCUGUCCUCCACGAGGCGAAUAUAGUAUAUGUUACAGGGAAUCGGCUACGAAUGCAACGGGUCGAUGGCCGACGCCAGCGCGACAACGAACGUGCAACUCUGGCGAGGUGGGUACGUUACGUCACUAUGGGCUGACCCGGCAACCAGACGUCAUCAUGAUGUUCAAGCCGAAGUCAGCACUCAAGGUCGAAGCAGCCUGCAAACGUGAAUAAAGAGCCGUUCGCAUCU